rnacentral:rRNA from 1 species
GAUGAACGCUGGCGGUAUGCUUAACACAUGCAAGUCGAACGGACUCUUCGGAGUUAGUGGCGGACGGGUGAGUAACGCGUGAGAAUCUGGCUUUGGGUUCGGGACAACCACUGGAAACGGUGGCUAAUACCGGAUGUGCCGAGAGGUAAAAGAGAAAUUGCCUGAAGAUGAGCUCGCGUCUGAUUAGCUAGUUGGUGAGGUAAAGGCUCACCAAGGCAGCGAUCAGUAGCUGGUCUGAGAGGAUGACCAGCCACACUGGGACUGAGACACGGCCCAGACUCCUGCGGGAGGCAGCAGUGGGGAAUUUUCCGCAAGGGGCGAAAGCCUGACGGAGCAAUACCGCGUGAGGGAAGAAGGCUCUUGGGUUGUAAACCUCUUUUCUUAGGGAAGAACAAAAUGACGGUACCUAAGGAAUCAGCAUCGGCUAACUCCGUG